UACGUAGGGUGCAAGCGUUGUCCGGAAUUAUUGGGCGUAAAGAGCUCGUAGGCGGUUUGUCGCGUCUGCUGUGAAAACUCGGGGCUCAACUCCGAGCUUGCGGUCGAUACGGGCAGGCUAGAGUUCGGUAGGGAGACUGGAAUUCCUGGUGUAGCGGUGAAAUGCGCAGAUAUCAGGAGGAACACCGGUGGCGAAGGCGGGUCUCUGGGCCGAUACUGACGCUGAGGAGCGAAAAGCGUGGGAGCGAACAGG
rnacentral:rRNA from 1 species